rnacentral:rRNA from 1 species
UACAGAGGGGGCAAGCGUUGUUCGGAAUUACUGGGCGUAAAGGGCUCGUAGGCGGCCAACUAAGUCCGACGUGAAAUCCCCAGGCUUAACCUGGGAACUGCGUCGGAUACUGGAUGGCUUGAAUUCGGGAGAGGGAUGCAGAAUUCCAGGUGUAGCGGUGAAAUGCGUAGAUAUCUGGAGGAAUACCGGUGGCGAAGGCGGCAUCCUGGACCGACAUUGACGCUGAUGAGCGAAAGCUAGGGGAGCGAACGGG